rnacentral:lncRNA from 1 species
UCUCAUGACAUCCAGAGGGUAAAUCGUUCCAACAUAAAUUAUUGUUUCAGUCUGGCUAAACGAAUAUCCCAUAUUUUUAUCCAUUGUUUUUUAAAGAGCAUAUAACAAGCCAUCGGUAUGAAAAUUUUCAGCGUUUGUCUAUUUCUAUGUCACCUUAUUUUGAGUUCUUCAACAGCCACAGAGAAGAGCCAAGUCAAAAGCAAGCUUGGCAGCUCCCAUGAACAGCUCUCAAAAGCAAAGGAGGGAGUAUCGAGCUCUAGCAAGUUAGAAGGUAAAGGCUUAAAAAAAGUAUCCGAAAAUCAGACAGAGAUACUUAACCCAGCUGAAAAUAAAAAACCUCCGACAGAACAUGGAACGAAGGGCGAUGGAGAUGGAAUCUCACGGAAGGAGUUGGAGGAACUCCUUUCAAAUAAAACAAAAACAAAAAACGCUACCGAAGAGGAGGGAAAAACUAAGACAACCCCUUAUGAUGUGAGACAUUACCUCACCGCUGAACAGAAGUAUUACAUGCUCAAAAUCAACUUACUCGGGAUUGGAGUCCGUGUGGUCUACGACAUCAUUCCACUUCCUGUGGCUUCCAUUGAUCAGUACAAAGUUGCGAUGGAUGAACUGCUGAGUCAGGUACAAGCUUCUAGGGAAGAUUACAACAAUCUGACUAGUUCUGGCUCUCACAACAUCACACUGGCGGAUGCCCAAGCAUUAAGCAAGAAAAUGAAUCUCGAGUCCAAUACAACAUCAUCAGCAUCAGGGGCGACAAACAAGGUGGUGACCGAGGUAUUGAUUUUGAUCGGCGUUAUCGUUGGACUGGUCCUGAUCGCGGGGCUCAUCUGGAUCUGCAAACGCGAUCAACGCAAGGCCCCGGAGUCCUCCUACUACGACCCCCUGCAGCCCGGCGCGGGAAGUGGCAUGGCCAUGAACUGAUUCCGCGCACUUUUUGCUGCACAUAUCGAGGCGAUAACGACGCGCGUAACAAUCAACACAUAAUGUAUAUAAGCCAGUUACACCACAUAGCAUGCAUCGCAAAAUAAAAAGCAUGGCACACACGAGCGCACGACACAAUUGGCUCAUGGCGCGCCAUGCAAAGGCUCAGUCGCGGCUCAUUACAAGUGAACUUGCGAACUUAACAUUCGUGCAUUCGCCUUGAUUAACUUCAGUGUUGAUAGUUCAGUUGACUCAAUUCUCGCCUGCAAUAAUGCAUAUUUUGUGAUGAAUGGAUCUUUUAUUCCCACUCAGCCAACGUAACCUACACUUCAAUGCAAAGCCAACGUUUGGCUGUUACUCAUUCAAUACAGAUUAUUUAGGUGUCUGCCUAUCAGAACUGGAUAGGCCAAAAUGGGAAGCUCUUCGUGGCGUGAGCUGUUUCUUUUUCCUCAUCCUGGUGCGCCCUCUAUCAUAGCGUGAACUGUUGGGGAGGAAAGUCGAUAUGACCCCCGCACUGUUUUCAGGUUUUCAAAGGUCAUUAUCUUCUCAACGAGAUUAUGUGAGCUGCAAUAAGGUUCAUGUUACUAGGUUUAUAAUGAACGUCGUCAUGUUCGUCAAAAGUCAUUUUGUCCUGACAAAAUGAUAGUAAUUCAGCGUUGCAUAACAAUCUGUACGAAACCACACUAUGUAGCAGCAUAAAUCUUAAACAGAC